rnacentral:rRNA from 1 species
GCACAAGCAGCGGAGCAUGUGGUUUAAUUCGAAGCAACGCGAAGAACCUUACCUGGCCUUGACAUGCUGAGAACUUUCUAGAGAUGGAUUGGUGCCUUCGGGAACUGUGAGACAGGUGCUGCAUGGCUGUCGUCAGCUCGUGUUGUGAAAUGUUGGGUUAAGUCCCGCAACGAGCGCAACCCUUAUCCUUUGUUGCCAGCGGUCCGGCCGGGAACUCAAAGGAGACUGCCAGUGAUAAACUGGAGGAAGGUGGGAUGACGUCAAGUCAUCAUGGCCCUUACGACCAGGGCUACACACGUGCUACAAUGGCGCAUACAAAGAGAAGCGACCUCGCGAGAGCAAGCGGACCUCAUAAAGUGCGUCGUAGUCCGGAUUGGAGUCUGCAACUCGACUCCAUGAAGUCGGAAUCGCUAGUAAUCGUGGAUCAGAAUGCCACGGUGAAUACGUUCCCGGGCCUU